GAAUAAAAGUAAUUGGGAUACUUUUAUUAAGGAAAAGUGAGUGCAUACAAAUAACUCUACAUCCAAAUGCUUAAUUAAGGAAAUACUACACCCCAUUCCUUGAGCUACAAAUUCAAGUAUUACAUAAAAAUGGACAUACAAUUUUUAUCUACUCCAAAACUAGGGUGAGUAGGGAAGUAGGACAAAAUGGUGAAGCAAGCCAAUUCCUUCCCCUAUCCUCCUCGAUCUUGGGAGGUGCACAAAGAGCCAAAAGGGCAGCUGUGUACCUACAAUUUACACAAAAAAGAGUAUUAGAAUUGUAGACACUUAGGUGAAGGAAAGAGAAGAGGCAAGCUAAAAAAAAGAAAGAAAACAUGGAGAAGAACCAGGCUGAGUGGAACAGCCGAAAGGCUGCCCCCAUGGGUAGAGAGGCAGCCAUUUGUCACAUUUCCAUCUUAGACCAAAAUAGGAGCCAAGACAAAUGAGCAUAGGUGAAAUGAGCUCACUGUACAUACUAAAAAAAGGAAUGUGGAUCAGGUACUCCUUUCCAUCAACCGAGGCUCACGGGAAAGUCAAAGAAGGACUUCCUUCCCUCAAGAAUUUCACCAAAGUAGGCAGGGAAGCCUAUUCAACAAGCUCAAAAGAAGAAGAAACAUGUAGUUCAAAGUAGCAAGUUACACUCCCCAAACCUGCCACAAAUGAUAAGGAAAUCUGCCUAUAAAUACCGUCACCCCUCUCCCCACUCCACACUCAUUUUCUGCCAAACCUGCGCAAGGCGAGGAGUGCGACGGAGUGAGGGACGGCGGCACGAGGCGACGACAGCAAAGAGGGCAGCCAAGAAAACCAAGAGAGUUCACCAAGUGAGGUUGAACGUCAAGAUGGAGAAGAAUUGAUCGGAGUCGAUGCUACUAAAUAGCAUGUGGAUUUCUCGACGAUUCGUGUCUUCAUACACGAAGUCGUUUAAUAGGGACCUCUUUUCCGCUGCAUAUAUAUUUUGUGUUAAGUGAGAAUAUUAUAGUCUCACCUUCGAACUCUGAUUUAGUUGCUAUGGUGAAUGAUUCUAUUUUGAGAUCUUGUAAUCAAAUACUUGGCUUCUAAUUUGUGGUAUCAAUUGAUUGGCCUUUCGGCAA